UACGAAGGGGGCUAGCGUUGCUCGGAAUCACUGGGCGUAAAGCGCACGUAGGCGGCUAGUUAAGUCGGGGGUGAAAUCCUGGAGCUCAACUCCAGAACUGCCUUCGAUACUGGCGAUCUUGAGUCCGGGAGAGGUGAGUGGAACUCCGAGUGUAGAGGUGAAAUUCGUAGAUAUUCGGAAGAACACCAGUGGCGAAGGCGGCUCACUGGCCCGGUACUGACGCUGAGGUGCGAAAGCGUGGGGAGCAAACAGG
rnacentral:rRNA from 1 species